rnacentral:rRNA from 1 species
AAGCUUGCUUCUUUCAAAUCUAGUGGCAAACGGGUGAGUAACACGUAAACAACCUGCCUUCAGGAUGGGGACAACAGACGGAAACGACUGCUAAUACCGCAUGACACAUAGGUGUCGCAUGGCACUUAUGUCAAAGAUUUAUCGCUGAAAGAUGGCCUCGCGUCUGAUUAGCUAGUUGGCGGGGUAACGGCCCACCAAGGCGACGAUCAGUAGCCGAACUGAGAGGUUGAUCGGCCACAUUGGGACUGAGACACGGCCCAAACUCC